AUGGGAGAAGCGGAGAUCGCCCCGCUCAAGUCCUCCUGGAUCGCCCCGCUUGACAUGUACUAUGACCAUGGCGCUCAGAAGAAGAAGAUCCUGUUUGGCACGAGCGCAUGCAAGGUGUUCGUGGUGGACCCUGACACCGGCGUCCCACAAGUUAUAUUCUCGCCGGAGGACACGAUGAUGGGAGAUCAGGGCAACUGGGACAACGAAUUCCCCACCAUCGGGUUGUUUGAGGAGCGCCUCGCGUCCGUGGGCCGCACCAACGAGGAGAUCAUCUUCACUUCACCAUGGGCACGAGCCGCGUCCUCGGUGCUCAUGUAUCUGCCAGCACGUACGGUUGGGCGCUUGAACCAGGUGUGCAAGGGUUGGCGUGCUAUGAUAAAGGCCGACUGCUUCAUCGGUGCACAUUUGUACCAUGCAAACCUUGAUAAAAUUCCCCACAUUAUGUUCACAGAUGGAACGCCCUUCAGGUUCAAAGCCCUGGAGGAUUUCAUCAACACAUCACACGCACUACCACCUUUCGUUGACGAGGGCUCACGAGUGGUUUACUCCAAGCCGUGCAAUGGGUUGAACGAAGGGAGCUGGGCCAAGUAUGACCUCGUGUGCAACCCAUUGACAAAGUACUACCGAGCCAUAAACUUGGGCAAUGGUAAGAAUGCUGCAACCUCGAAAUCAUUCGUAAUAAAUACACCUCGUGUCGCCCUUGGGUAUGCACCCAAUAUAGGAAUGCAUGUCUUGGUGAGUCUUGCGUAUAAGGAAAAGAACUGGAUGACAUCGAGGGAUUACAAACUCGAGUGCAAGAUCCAGUUGAUCCAACGGCGUGACUGGGUACAGAUAGAUCCUCCUUCAAGGCCUAUGGCCGAUGUGCCGCCGGUCUAUGCAAGCGGCAAGCUCUAUUGGAUUGUAGACCCCGAGUUUGCUCCGACAUCGGCUUGCAGCGAGAUCAUAAUGCUUGAUCUUAACACUUUAGAAUUCCAUGUCUUGGCAGGGCCACCUUGCGGCAAAUACAUAUCCAUCACAGAGCUCCAAGGAGAGGUAUGCGUCACGUGCUCGAGACCAAGCACCAACACCAUAGAGAUAUGGGACAUGGAUGGCAUUGGCAUGUGGUCCAUGCGACUUUGUAUAGAGCUAGCGAGUUUCUUUCCGGAGUACUCAUCGGAGAAUACCACGCUGCUGGCCGUCAAUCCCAAGGAUGGAAGAAUCUUACUCAGCACCGGGAGAUCGUUGGGCUACUAUGCCUCCAAGACGGUUGAGCUGGAGACAAUUUACCGUCUGGACUCGAGCAUCCAAGGAAAGAAGUUUGUCCCUGUUUUGGCCAUGGACAGCUUAGUUCAACCAUGCGAU
rnacentral:rRNA from 1 species